rnacentral:rRNA from 1 species
CAUACGCCCUGAGGGGGAAAGUGGGGGACCGCAAGGCCUCACGUUAUUCGAGCGGCCGACGUCUGAUUAGCUAGUUGGUGGGGUAAAGGCCUACCAAGGCGACGAUCAGUAGCGGGUCUGAGAGGAUGAUCCGCCACACUGGGACUGAGACACGGCCCAGACUCCUACGGGAGGCAGCAGUGGGGAAUUUUGGACAAUGGGGGCAACCCUGAUCCAGCCAUUCCGCGUGAGUGAAGAAGGCCUUCGGGUUGUAAAGCUCUUUCAGCUGGAACGAAACGGUACGCGCUAACAUCGUGUGCGAAUGACGGUACCGGCAGAAGAAGCACCGGCUAACUACGUGCCAGCAGCCGCGGUAAUACGUAGGGUGCGAGCGUUAAUCGGAAUUACUGGGCGUAAAGCGUGCGCAGGCGGAUUGUUAAGCAAGACGUGAAAUCCCCGGGCUUAACCUGGGAAUGGCGUUUUGAACUGGCAGUCUAGAGUGCGUCAGAGGGGGGUGGAAUUCCACGUGUAGCAGUGAAAUGCGUAGAGAUGUGGAGGAACACCGAUGGCGAAGGCAGCCCCCUGGGAUGACACUGACGCUCAUGUACGAAAGCGUGGGUAGCAAACA